GGAUUAGGCAUGCAAGUCGCACGAGAAAGGCUUCUUCGGAGGCCGAGUAAAGUGGCGGACGGGUGAGUAAUGCAUGGAUAACUUGCCCUUGAGAUGGGGACAACGCCUCGAAAGGGGUGCUAAUACCCAAUACUGCCGUGGGUCGCCGGAUCUGCGGCGAAAGGAGGCCUCUGAUUCAAGCUUCCGCUCAAGGAGAGGUUCAUGUCCUAUUAGCUAGUUGGCGGGGUAACGGCCCACCAAGGCUUCGAUGGGUAGCCGACCUGAGUGGGUGACCGGCCACAUUGGGACUGAGACACUGCCCAGACUCCUACGGGAGGCUGCAGUCGAGAAUCUUCCGCAAUGCGCGCAAGCGUGACGGAGCGACGCCGCGUGGGUGACGAAGGCCUUCGGGUUGUAAAACCCUGUCAGCUGUUAUGAAAGGCGGGCGAUGAACAAUUGUCCCGCUUGACGUAAGCAGCAGAGGAAGCACCGGCUAACUACGUGCCAGCAGCCGCGGUAAUACGUAGGGUGCGAACGUUGUUCGGAAUCACUGGGCAUAAAGGGCGUGUAGGCGGUCGUACAAGUCAGAUGUGAAAGCCCCCGGCCUAACCGGGGAACUGCAUUUGAUACUGUGCGGCUAGAGUGCAGGAGGGGAGAGUGGAAUUCCUGGUGGGGCGGUGAAAUGCGUAGAUAUCAGGAGGAACGCCGGUGGCGAAAGCGACUCUCUGGCCUGCAACUGACGCUGAGGCGCGAAAGCUAGGGGAGCAAACGGGAUUAGAUACCCCGGUAGUCCUAGCCCUAAACGAUGGGCACUAAGUAGAGGGGUUUU
rnacentral:rRNA from 1 species